rnacentral:rRNA from 1 species
AUUGAACGCUGGCGGCAUGCUUUACACAUGCAAGUCGAACGGCAGCACGGGUGCUUGCACCUGGUGGCGAGUGGCGGACGGGUGAGUAAUACAUCGGAACGUGUCCUGAAGUGGGGGAUAACGCAUCGAAAGAUGUGCUAAUACCGCAUAUUCUCUGAGGAGGAAAGUAGGGGAUCGAAAGACCUUAUGCUUUUGGAGCGGCCGAUGUCUGAUUAGCUAGUUGGUAAGGUAAUGGCUUACCAAGGCGACGAUCAGUAGUUGGUCUGAGAGGACGGCCAGCCACACUGGGACUGAGACACGGCCCAGACUCCUACGGGAGGCAGCAGUGGGGAAUUUUGGACAAUGGGCGCAAGCCUGAUCCAGCAAUGCCGCGUGAGUGAAGAAGGCCU